UGACCCUUGCAAGCCCAAGCUACCUACCU
rnacentral:piRNA from 1 species